GCAUUACUUCGGUGGUCCGAGGUGCAGGCUUCAAACUUGUAGCCCGUUAGCGCCGGAGUGGUUCGAUUCCACCUUGC
rnacentral:tRNA from 1 species